rnacentral:misc_RNA from 1 species
UCUCCGUAGGUGAACCUGCGGAGGGAUCAUUACUGAGUGAGGGUCUCCGGGCCCGACCUCCAACCCUUUGUUGUCCGACUCUGUUGCCUCCGGGGCGACCCUGCCUUCGGGCGGGGGCUCCGGGUGGACACUUCAAACUCUUGCGUAACUUUGCAGUCUGAGUAAACUUAAUUAAUAAAUUAAAACUUUUAACAACGGAUCUCUUGGUUCUGGCAUCGAUGAAGAACGCAGC